rnacentral:rRNA from 1 species
UACGUAGGUGGCAAGCGUUGUUCGGAUUUACUGGGCGUAAAGGGCGCGUAGGCGGCCACGACAAGUCACUUGUGAAAUCUCCGGGCUUAACUCGGAACGGUCAAGUGAUACUGUCGGGCUAGAGUGCAGAAGGGGCAACUGGAAUUCUCGGUGUAGCGGUGAAAUGCGUAGAUAUCGAGAGGAACACCUGCGGCGAAGGCGGGUUGCUGGGCUGACACUGACGCUGAGGCGCGAAAGCCAGGGGAGCGAACGGG